GACGAACGCUGGCGGCGUGCUUAACACAUGCAAGUCGAACGGAAAGGCCCUGCUUUUGUGGGGUUCUCGAGUGGCGAACGGGUGAGUAACACGUGAGUAACCUGCCCUUGACUUUGGGAUAACUUCAGGAAACUGGGUCUAAUACCGGAUAGGAGCUCCUGCUGCAUGGUGGGGGUUGGAAAGUUUCGGCGGUUGGGGAUGGACUCGCGGCUUAUCAGCUUGUUGGUGGGGUAGUUGCUUACCAAGGCUUUGACGGGUAGCCGGCCUGAGAGGGUGACCGGCGACAAUGGGACUGAGAUACGGCCCAGAGUGCAACGGGAGGCAGCAGUGGGGAAUAUUGCACAAUGGGAGGAAGCAUGAUGAAGAAACGCGGCGUGGGGGAUGACGGCCUUCGGGUUGUAAACCGCUUUCGCCUGUGACGAAGCGUGAGUGACGGUAAUGGGUAAAGAAGCACCGGCUAACUACGUG
rnacentral:rRNA from 1 species